rnacentral:rRNA from 1 species
CGUGUAGGCGGGCAGGUAAGUCGGGCGUGAAAUCCCUGGGCUCAACCCAGGAACUGCACUCGAAACUACUUGUCUUGAGUGUCGGAGAGGAAAGCGGAAUUCCUGGUGUAGAGGUGAAAUUCGUAGAUAUCAGGAGGAACACCAGUGGCGAAGGCGGCUUUCUGGACGAUAACUGACGCUGAGACGCGAAAGCGUGGGGAGCAAACA